rnacentral:rRNA from 1 species
UACGUAGGGAGCAAGCGUUAUCCGGAUUUAUUGGGCGUAAAGGGAGCGUAGGCGGAUAGUUUAGUCAGAGGUGAAAGCCCAGGGCUCAACCUUGGAAUUGCCUUUGAUACUGGCUAUCUUGAGUGUGGGAGAGGUAUGUGGAACUCCGAGUGUAGAGGUGAAAUUCGUAGAUAUUCGGAAGAACACCAGUGGCGAAGGCGACAUACUGGCCCAUUACUGACGCUGAGGCUCGAAAGCGUGGGGAGCAAACAGG